UCCCCCACCCUGUUACUAAAGUUGACACUGAAUUUGCGUGCAGUCUCCCCCAUCGUCGUCGCUGUGGUGGCUGCGCUAAGCUCCACGGCUCUCAGAGCCAGCCCGUCCCCUCCCUGCCACUGUGAAGCGGGUGUUCAGAGAGGAUCGCUCCUGGAACACAGGUGAGACGUCCCUUUCACCUUCCACCAUGAUUGUGAGGCCUCCCCAGCCACGUGGAAGUGUAAGUCCAAUAAACCUCUUUCUUUUGUAAAUCGCCCAAUCUCAGGUACGUCUUCAACAGCAGCAUGAAAAUGGACUAAUACACUGGCCUACACGGAGAGAGCACCCUGGCUUCUUCUGAGGGCUGCUGCUGGGCUAGGUGCACCAUUACCACUUGAGUAUCUUGAAAAUAGCUGGCAGUUUUCAGUUAUUAUACCACAACCUCUUCUCACAGACCUAUUAGUGCAUCUGAGACUGGGUUUAUUUCUUCAUAUACUGGAAACUUUUGUUUCCUUAGAAUAGAAAAUUAUCAUACAGAGUUUUGAGUUUUUCUUUUUAUGCACUGUGCUCAUGGCUAUAUUCUCCAGGGAGCAUGUUCUUUUGGAAAUCAUAUUUAAUGAAGAUAUUUCCAUAUUGAAGUGAGGUGGGUGUGGUAUUAAAGUAAAAAGGAAGGAGAUGAAAUAUUUAUUCUGCAUUAUGUUUGAAGUGUUAGAUGGCUAAGUAUUAAAAGCAACCAAAUUAAAUCCCCCAAAUUAAAGCAAUCAGAACACCUGCUUCACUAGAUUUUGCCAGCUGCCAAUCAUGUUGGACUGAGCUAAUCUGUUCCUCUUUCUAAAACUACUAUGGUAAAAAACAAUAAAACUUGCUUUUAUAAAGGCAAAAAUGAAUGAACGAACAAAUGCACCUAUAAAACAUAAUCCUAGUUGUUGAGGGGAGGGAAUCUAUAAUUACAUUUUAGUGUGGCCUAAACUUAAAUAAUUUUUUUUAAUUAAGACCAGUAAAAAAGUUUUCUUAAUCUACAAAAAUACAGAAGCCACUAAUGUGCAUUAUGAAAAGCAAUUCUUUCUAAACAACUCUAUAUGGGAUAGAGCAUAUGCUUUAAAAUUUUUCUUUCUUUUGAUUUUAAGCACACAAUGCAGGCAGACAAUAAAACUGUAGUAAUUAAAUCAGCCUUUCAACUAUAGCUGGCAUUAUAGGGACUGGUAAUUACUGGGUAAACACAGUGGCCAAUGUUUUUUGGUUUUUCAGCUAUUGUAGUACUUACGUAGUCACUGAAGUAGCCAGGAGUAGUUUUUCAAAGCUUUCAACUUUAGUACGAUAAGUCCAUCAUUUGCAAUUUAUGUUGUUACUGUCAUUGUGCUAACUUUCACAGAUAUUUAUACAUUUUAGUGGUACCAGUAAGAUCCAGUGUAAUCUAAGGGCUCUCAGCACAUUCUCUGUAAUUCUCAGCAGCUUACUGCCUAAGCCAUAGAAAUAAAAUACUCAUCUAUACUUUUAAAGCAAGACACAUAGUGCUUCAGCAAUUUUGAAACACAAAAAGAAAGUAAACAUCACUGUAUUACUAAUCACUAAGGGUUUUUUCUUUUUCUAUUCUGCUACUAACUAUAAAAUGCUCAAUAUUUUUCAAACUUUCUUUUUUUAGACAGCAGAACUUUUUAUUCCCAAACAAAAUUUUUUACAAAAUUUCAAUAUAUGAAAUAAAAGCACGAAUGAGGAAGCUACACAGCACCUCUGUAGAACCUUAGAGCUCUCUCACACAUAGCAUGAAAAGUACUAGUCUAGGCCACAUUUCAGAUCAGAGAAUAAAUUCUCAAAUGAAAGAUACUGAGAUCUUUUCAACAUAAGGAAAGGCAUGAACUCUUUCUAAAUUUGAUUUGAAGGGGCCCAAAGGAAAAUUCUCACAAAUAAAUUAAUCACAAAAAACUAUAACUUCAAUCUCAAUUUUAAAAAUUACCUUUCUUUCUAGCAUUAGAGGAACUUUAAUUCAGUAACUCUUAUUUACUUCAACUGUCAAUUCAAGUAGGAAUAAUUCUGCCAUUUAUUAUUAAAUUGUGUAUAUAAUAUGAUCUCAUUUUCAUAAAAUGUUCUUUAUGCCCAUUCAUCUGCCCACUCAACCUUCUAUUCAUAUAGUGCCAAAGAAAAACCCCUAAAGACCCCUUUAUUUGUAUAGAGCCAUGCAGAACCCCUUGAAGUUAAUAAUGAUAAUCAUUUUUAGAUGUUAGGGAUGGAUUAUUUUAUUCUUUGUUUUUUUCUGUAAUACCUGAAUUUUCUAUAAUAAACGUGUCAAAUAUA